AUUAAAUCGGGUGCUACCAUGCAGUCGAACGAUGAACCCGCUUCGGUGGGGGAUUAGUGGCGAACGGGUGAGUAACACGUGGGCAAUCUGCCCUGCACUCUGGGACAAGCCCUGGAAACGGGGUCUAAUACCGGAUAUGACACGGGAUCGCAUGGUCUCCGUGUGGAAAGCUCCGGCGGUGCAGGAUGAGCCCGCGGCCUAUCAGCUUGUUGGUGGGGUGAUGGCCUACCAAGGCGACGACGGGUAGCCGGCCUGAGAGGGCGACCGGCCACACUGGGACUGAGACACGGCCCAGACUCCUACGGGAGGCAGCAGUGGGGAAUAUUGCACAAUGGGCGAAAGCCUGAUGCAGCGACGCCGCGUGAGGGAUGACGGCCUUCGGGUUGUAAACCUCUUUCAGCAGGGAAGAAGCGCAAGUGACGGUACCUGCAGAAGAAGCACCGGCUAACUACGUGCCAGCAGCCGCGGUAAUACGUAGGGUGCGAGCGUUGUCCGGAAUUAUUGGGCGUAAAGAGCUCGUAGGCGGCCUGUCGCGUCGGAUGUGAAAGCCCGGGGCUUAACCCCGGGUCUGCAUUCGAUACGGGCAGGCUAGAGUUCGGUAGGGGAGAUCGGAAUUCCUGGUGUAGCGGUGAAAUGCGCAGAUAUCAGGAGGAACACCGGUGGCGAAGGCGGAUCUCUGGGCCGAUACUGACGCUGAGGAGCGAAAGCGUGGGGAGCGAACAGGAUUAGAUACCCUGGUAGUCCACGCCGUAAACGUUGGGAACUAGGUGUGGGCGACAUUCCACGUCGUCCGUGCCGCAGCUAACGCAUUAGGUUCCUCCGCCUGGGGAGUACGGCCGCAAGGCUAAAACUCAAUGGAAUU
rnacentral:rRNA from 1 species